AUGCUGUGAUCCUGCCGGACCUGACUGCUAUCGGAUUGAUACUAAGCCAUGUGAGUCAUUGUAGCAAUACAAGGCAGAAAACUCAGUAACACGUAGCCAACCUACCCUAUGGACGGGGAUAACCUCGGGAAACUGAGGAUACCCCCCGAUAGAUCAUUAUACCUGGAACGGUUUAUGGUCCAAAUGAUUCGUCGCCGUAGGAUGGGACUGCGAUGUAUCAGCUUGUUGGUGAGGUAAUGGCCCACCAAGGCUAUUACUGCUACGGGCUCUGAGAGGAGAAGCCCGGAGAUGGGUACUGAGACACGGACCCAGGCCCUAUAUGGCGCAGCAGGCGAGAAAACUUUGCAAUGUGCGCAAGCAUAGCAAGGUUAAUCCGAGUGUUUCCUGCUAAAGGAAUCUUUAGCUAGUCCUAAAAACACUAGCGAAUAAGGGGUGGGCAAGUUCUGGUGUCAGCCGCCGCGGUAAAACCAGCACCUCAAGUGGUCAGCCGGAUUAUUGGGCUGCAAGCAUCCGUAGCCUGCUCUGUAAGUUUCCGGUUAAAUCCAUUAGCUUAACUGAUGGGCCGCCGGUUAAACUGCAGAGCGUGGGAGUGGGAGAGGUAGACGGUACUCGGUAGGAAGGGGUAAAAUCCUUUGAUCUAGUAGUGACCACCUGUGGCGAAGGCGUAGUACCAGAACACGUUCGACGGUGAGGGAUGAAAGCUGGGGGAGCAAACCGGAUUAGAUACCCGGGUAGUCCCAGCUGUAAACGAUGCGAACUCGGUGAUGCCCUGGCUUGUGGCCAGUGCAGUGCCGCAGGGAAGCCGUUAAGUUUGCCGCCUGGGAAGUACGUACGCAAGUAUGAAACUUAUGCCG
rnacentral:rRNA from 1 species